UAAGACCUCUGUUCACCCUUCCCUGUGUGAGGCCCAGGAGGCAUCAGUAAACAGAAACAAGGCCGGCCCUCACACAGCAGGCACACCCCAACAUCUCAACAAAACCUCACACAGCACACACCCAACAUCUCAACAAAACCUCCCACGGCACAUACACCCCAACAUCUCAACAAAACCUCACACGGCACGUACACCCCAACAUCGCAACAAAACCUCACACGGCACGCACACCCCAACAUCUCAACAAAACCUCACACAGCACACACACCCCAACAUCUCAACAAAACCUCACACGGCACGCACACCCCAACAUCGCAACAAAACCUCACACA
rnacentral:lncRNA from 1 species